AGUAAUACAUAAGUAACCUGCCCUAGACAGGGGGAUAACUAUUGGAAACGAUAGCUAAGACCGCAUAGGUACGGACACUGCAUGGUGACCGUAUUAAAAAGUGCCUCAAAGCACUGGUAGAGGAUGGACUUAUGGCGCAUUAGCUGGUUGGCGGGGUAACGGCCCACCAAGGCGACGAUGCGUAGCCGACCUGAGAGGGUGACCGGCCACACUGGGACUGAGACACGGCCCAG
rnacentral:rRNA from 1 species